rnacentral:rRNA from 1 species
AUGGCGACCGGCGCACGGGUGAGUAACACGUAUCCAACCUGCCGAUAACUCGGGGAUAGCCUUUCGAAAGAAAGAUUAAUACCCGAUGGCAUAGUUCUUCCGCAUGGUGGAACUAUUAAAGAAUUUCGGUCAUCGAUGGGGAUGCGUUCCAUUAGGUUGUUGGCGGGGUAACGGCCCACCAAGCCUUCGAUGGAUAGGGGUUCUGAGAGGAAGGUCCCCCACAUUGGAACUGAGACACGGUCCAAACUCCUACGGGAGGGCAGCAUG